GAAAGAAGAGACACGCCAAACAGGAAGUGAAAUAAGGGAAAAGAAGACUUUGGUAGGAUGUAAAGGAAUUAUACGCCAGGAGUGCUAACCGGAAUCCUCUUUUUUUUUUUCUAGAAGAAAUGAUAUAAAGAGCAAACAGAAUAACUGAAAUAGGAGAGAAAUUUUUGCCUGGAACUGCCGUCAUUCUCCUGCUCCUCUGUACCUCCCUCGGACGUUGAACCCUGUUGAACCCCUAAUGCUUGGAUACAUCUAUCAUAUCCAUGUGCUCCUGAAAGUUUCUGAAUCAACAGACGAAAAGAAAUGCGAAAGAACCAGGAAGAAGCAUGAACUCUUUUUUGAAUCUUCAAACUUGGACCAUUCGUAAGGUAUGAAGUCUCUAAGGGGUUUGUACCUGUAGCGCACUGAGGGAUGUAUGCAGUUUUGCUUGACAAAGUGAGAUUCACUUCAAGUUACUUAUAAUGAAAGAUUCAUGCAGACAGGCAUACUGGAAGACAACCCCAUGCUGUCCGAUGCCUCGUAACACCGGCAAGCACAUAAAGGAGACAAGAUUUUAGCAUCUCUGCAAGACCAAACUGACGACUCCACAAGGUUUGGCUAAAUCCUGAGAACAAUCUCUUUCCCUAAUCUUAUGACAGACUACAAGUUUUAGGAACCUCUCAGAAGCCUGCUGUGUGGGAAAGCCUUUCCACUGCGCACUCAGAAAGAAAGAGAAGACCUCAGAGGCAUAGUGAACAACAAUAAUAAUAAUAAUAAGAAGAAAACGAAGAAGAAGAAGAAUUAAAGAACCAGGAGAAAGGGACAGACAGCCAGAGCUGGCUGUGGCAGGAACAAGGGAGCAGGGGGAAAGGGUGAAGAAGAGAUGGGACUUCAUGGGCUUUUGUGAAAGCUUGAAAGAAUGGAAGCAGCUCCAAAAUAAAAAGCAGAACAGGGAUCCCUGCAAUCCCCCUGGUACAAUGCGUGCAGGUGUGGUGCCCCCUGGAGGUGGAUAUCACUGAUGAUAAACAUGCUCCCCCAUGGCCUUGCUCACGCGUGCCAGGCCAUCGAGGAGGAGCAGGACAACGACAGAGAGGAGAGGAUCUUGGCUAUCCUGGGAAUAGUUGGCACCAUUCUCAACCUGCUGGUGGUCAUCUUUGUCUACAUCUACACCACCAUCUGAAAACUGGAGUGGGAGAAGAGCCAUCCAAAGAUCUGAGAGGGAAAAGACUGGAAAGAUUUGGAUUAGUAUAUACACUCAGUGAGGACAGGAGAAGAUGAGAAGAAUGGACUAAUGGACUACUUCAUUUUCCAAAAUAUAAAUAUCAUUCACAAUCAUCAUUCAUGCAAAGUAAAUCUGAAUAGUGUCCACCAUUUUCACCAUUAAUUUAAAAAAACUCCAUGUUUGAACUAUUACGUUUGAAUUAUUAUCUUUGAAUGCUUUACUUACUAAGUUGUGUUGUAAAUAUUUGACCAAUGGCAUGGCGUUCUACUGUAUUUCUCAUGGCAUGGCAUUCUAAUCUAUUUCUUAUGCAAUUGAUUGAUUGAUUAGUGACGGUUAAGCGUUUGCCAACUUUAACGAUAACCCUUUCAACAAGAAGCACUGCAGAUAAUGGAGGCAUCUGCUCAGGACACAGUUGCAACACUUGCUGGAUGUCUUACUUUGAGCAAAUCUGUUAAAAGGAGGGACAUUUCCCUGAAAUAUGCAAACAGGACAGCAUCCUCCGGCUCCAUAUACACUACUAGAGGAAUAAAUAUCAACAUGUACUUUAUACUUCAUGAGCUUUUCUCGACUAACAAAGUUGACAAAACGUGAUAUUGAGAUUCCUAUAUGGAAG
ensembl:lncRNA